rnacentral:rRNA from 1 species
UACGUAGGGUGCAAGCGUUGUCCGGAAUUAUUGGGCGUAAAGAGCUCGUAGGCGGUCUGUCGCGUCGGCUGUGAAAUCCCGGAGCUCAACUCCGGGCCUGCAGUCGAUACGGGCAGACUGGAGUUCGGCAGGGGAGACUGGAAUUCCUGGUGUAGCGGUGAAAUGCGCAGAUAUCAGGAGGAACACCGGUGGCGAAGGCGGGUCUCUGGGCAGUAACUGACGCUGAGGAGCGAAAGCGUGGGGAGCGAACAGG